ensembl:lncRNA
UUCUUUUGUUGUGUGUUAGGUGAACUGAUUGGAGUAGAAUAUCUUUACCAGCAGAACGGAUUCUGUUGGACCUGACAACAUUAAAGGAUUUAGUGCAGUCCAGAAGUUAGCAGAGACAUUUGCUGGACUCAGGAACCAUAGCCUUGCCUUGACGAGAGAGGAAUCUGCACAAUUAUUAGUUUGUGGCAAGGGUUGGCAGAUUAUGACAAAGAGAGAAUUGUGUACUCAGCACACCAUCAGUCCUCUCUCAACAAAGGGAGGUUUAGGGCAACCAAAAAAAUCGUAGCACCAGGAGUAGAGAGUACCAGAAGAUGUUUUGUUGGAGCAAACAGACCUGCACAGUGGCCUGACGGCUACAGAAUUGUUGAGGCAGCUUUUGUAAAACUCUGCGCUCUCUAUCCUAACCCUGUACAUCAAGGAGGGGUUAAAAUCUCACAAUUGAACUUCAUUGUAUGUGCCUACAAGCAUAUCAGAGAGUGCAUCCUGAGUUACGCUGAAGUGAUGCAGCAGACCACCCUCCAAUUACCUGAGGUCAAUGCAGCUACACUUACACAAUGGUACAGCAGACGUACAAAAUCUAACGAGAGGGAAAUUUUGACGCAAGGAAUUCAUACACCAGAUGCACCAAUGACAGCACCACGACUUCCACCAGCAAGAACAGAGUCUGCAGCAUGGGAGUAAUGACAGGCCUUUCGUUUUCAAUUUGCCUCCAAACACAGCCAGGAUGGCCAAAACAAGAUCUGGGCCACAUAUACCUGAAAUAAUACUGCCGCUAUCACCACCACCUGCACUGACCUCUCUUGCUAAACCAGGGCAGUCAUCUAGACCUCCGCCAGUUAUACUUCUGCUUCUGCUGCAUUUCAGCCUAUAAUGUUUAUUGUAUCACACCACAAACUGUGACACUGCCAGCAGCACCACCAACACCACAGCCUUCUGUACUGUACACCAUGAAGUACUGCAGGAAAGGGAGCAGAUGCCUGAAGUCAAGGAAAUAUGUGCAGAAGACUGAAGUAAUCCUGUGCAUGAAGUGUAACAAGGAGAGGAAACCACCAUCUCUAGUGCAUCUCAUCAGGACCAAGCUGGAGUUUUUGUCAGAUGUCCAGAGUAAUAGUCGUCUAUUAGCAGUACAUGAUUUUUCUAGCUUUAAGUUGCAGUGAGUUAAAAUAGACUUAUAUUGUCCAGUUGUUUGUUCACUUAUAGAUAGACCACCAAAAUAUAACAAACUGAAUUUUCUGAGUUCCUAACUGCAAUUGUACAGUUUUGAGAGGAUUUUAAUACUUGGUGAUUUUAACUUGCAUAUCUGGUGACCCAAAGAGCCCAUGGUGAAAGAGUUUCUACAUCUUAUUGAUUCCUUUAAUUUCACACAGUUUGUCUCAGG